AGAGAAUUCCUUGAACCUGGGAGGUGGAGGUUGCAGUGAGCCAAGAUUGUGCCAUUGCACUCCAGCCCUCCAGCCUGGGUGACAGAG
rnacentral:snRNA from 1 species